rnacentral:rRNA from 1 species
AUUGAACGCUGGCGGCAGGCCUAAUACAUGCAAGUCGAGCGGAGCGGCGGACGGGUGAGUAAUGCCUAGGAAUCUGCCUGGUAGUGGGGGAUAACGUCCGGAAACGGGCGCUAAUACCGCAUACUAUCAGAUGAGCCUAGGUGGGAUUAGCUAGUUGGUGGGGUAAAGGCCUACCAAGGCGACGAUCCGUAACUGGACUGAGAGGAGGAUCAGUCACACUGGAACGGAGACACGGUCCAGACUCCUACGGGAGGCAGCAGUGGGGAAUAUUGGACAAUGGGCGAAAGCCUGAUCCAGCCAUGCCGCGUGAGUGAAGAAGGUCUUCGGAUUGUAAAGCACUUUAAGUUGGGAGGCGUUACCAACAGAGUAAGCACCGGCUAACUACGUGCCAGCAGCCGCGGUAAUUC